rnacentral:rRNA from 1 species
UACAGAGGUCCCAAGCGUUGUUCGGAUUCACUGGGCGUAAAGGGUGCGUAGGUGGCCAGGUAAGUUCGGUGUGAAAGCUCGGAGCUUAACUCCGAAAUGGCAUUGAAUACUAUCUGGCUAGAGGGUCGGAGGGGAGACUGGAAUUCUCGGUGUAGCAGUGAAAUGCGUAGAUAUCGAGAGGAACACCAGUGGCGAAGGCGAGUCUCUGGACGACACCUGACACUGAGGCACGAAAGCCAGGGGAGCAAACGGG